rnacentral:rRNA from 1 species
GCCAGCCCGCUCAGAAACUUAAAGGAAUUGACGGGGCCCGCACAAGCGGAGGAGCAUGUGGUUUAAUUCGAUGAUACGCGAGGAACCUUACCUGGGCUCGAACGUAAGAUGACUGUAGGUGAAAGCUUACAUCUCUUCGGAGCAUUUUACGAGGUGCUGCAUGGUUGUCGUCAGCUCGUGCCGUGAGGUGUCGGGUUAAGUCCCAUAACGAGCGCAACCCCUACCUUUAGUUGCCAUCAGGUUAAGCUGGGGACUCUAAAGGAACUGCCUACGCAAGUAGUGAGGAAGGCGGGGAUGACGUCAAAUCAGCACGGCCCUUACGUCCAGGGCUACACACGUGCUACAAUGGCCGAUACAGAGGGCAGCUACCUGGUGACAGGAUGCAAAUCUCCAAAGUCGGUCUCAGUUCGGAUCGGAGUCUGCAACCCGACUCCGUGAAGUUGGAUUCGCUAGUAAUCGCGCAUCAGCCAUGGCGCGGUGAAUACGUUCCCGGGCCUU